UAGGGAAUAUUGCAAAUGGACGAAAGCCUGAUGUAGCAACGCCGCGUGUGCGAUGAAGGUCUUCGGAUUGUAAAGCACUUUUUGGAGGGAUGAGGAAGGACAGUACCUCCAGAAUAAGCCUCGGGUAACUACGUGCCAGCAGCCGCGGUAACACGUAGGAGGCAAGCGUUAUUCGGAUUUACUGGGCGUAAAGCGCGUGCAGGCGGUUUGGAAAGUUGGAUGUGAAAGCUCCUGGCUCAACUGGGAGAGGUCGUUCAAAACUUCCAGACUUGAGAGUGGUAGAGGGAGGUGGAAUUCCGGGUGUAGUGGUGAAAUGCGUAGAUAUCCGGAGGAACACCAGUGGCGAAAGCGGCCUCCUGGCCCAUUUCUGACGCUCAGACACGAAAGCUAAGGUAGCAAACGG
rnacentral:rRNA from 1 species